UUAUAAUAUUGAAAAUAUAUUAAAUUUUUUAAUAAAUAAAAAUUAUAGUAAGUAUUAAAAAGAAACAAGAGAUAGAAUUAUAACUUCCAAAUAUUACAAAUAAAAAAGAAUUGUACUGUGAAUUCACAAUUCUUCCAUUCUCUAUCUUCUCUCCACUUUAAAAGAUCCUUCCAAGAGUUUUACAUCUGACAAACCAAAUAUUUACUUUGUCUCAACGAUUUCAAUUUACAGAAUGAAGAAGUCAGAACCAUUGGAACUCGUAGAGCUACCAGCUUGAGAUGCCAGAUAUUUGAAAACGUUAAAGAUCCAAAUGUGAGUCGCGCUUGGGUCUAUUGGUAGAUCGCAAUAAUUGGAAUCGGCAUUAGGAUUCGACAGGCUAAUAGCUCGGCCGCCGAGAUACGAGCUGCAAUACGGUUUAUUGGCACAAGGGCGAACAGCACCGUUCAUAUCGAGUUUCUGCAACACCGGCGACGAUAUUUGUAGUCGAGUCAGCUGCGCCUCUCGAAUAACUCCUGUCCCAUGUGUUCCGCGCGCGAACACGCGCGCCAGCUAUGCACGAUGACGAACGUGCAAUCAUUUUAAUAGAAAUGAUACGUGUGAUCGAUGAUCAAGAUAUGACGAGUGUCGUGGGAAUCGAUUGGAACAUUAAAUGAAUAUUUUGAGAGAAAGAAUGAUUUGAAAUAAGAUAAUUAAGAUCCAAAAAAAAAAGGAAAGUAAGAUCAUUAUGAUGAGAGUUCAAAAUUUUUCUAAAAUUUAAACAUUGUAAGUAAUAUUGAUGUAAAGAUCAUUGAAAAUAAUCAAAGUUAUUGAAUAAUUUUUUUUUUCUUUUUCAGGUAUUUAAAGGUAUUUCUUUUCAUUCCCUCAUCAUCAAAUACAAUUCAAUUUAUUAUAAUUAAUUUUCUCUAAAAUUUAACCACUUUCAAUUACAUCAAGAAUUCAAUCAUCAAUUGUCCGCAAACUAUUUCCAUUGUCAUUCUCUUUGUCGACAUCUGUUCAAGAAAAUCUCAUAUCUUGGAACGUGUUUUUCGCUAACCGCAGGUAGAUUAGAUAUCGGUUCGUACGAGGCUGUUGAACCGUGGCUCGCUCGUUCUCCACUGUCUCUCUGCUAUAUUAUGCAAAUGCACAUAGCAACGUUGCAGCCAGGCAAGUGGUUAAUAAUACAUCUGUGAGUAAUAGGCCACGCUAGUUUCCGUUUACCUGGUUGGCCAAGAUUAAGGGCUUUCAGGCCGAGGACACGCUCGAUAGAUUCGGGCUUUCUUCGAGAGAGGAAGUCGCCAGCCAUGCCCCUCCCCCCCCUCCUUGCCGCCUACGUUUGAUUAUGGAUCAUGAUUGAAAUCGGAGUCGAGAUUGCGACUACAAAUUUACAAGUGCACACCGGAUAAUUUGGAUAACGAGGCUCAAGUUGAAUUGGAAUUGAUAUUGGUAGGAAUAUUCGAAGCUCUUAAGUUCGUUGUUUUCGUAUGAAGUUUGAUUGGGAAUAAUUCAAUUUUAUUUAAAGAAAGAAAAAAGGGAGAAAAAAAUUGGAAACAAGAAAAGAAUUAAAUCCGCAGAGACUAGCAAGGUGUUUACGAUUCUUAAAAGAGUUUAUUGUUCAAAGAUUUUAUGGGAGAAUUUAUACCUGAAAUUUAAUGCUCCUCACUAACGAGUGAUUCUAAUAAUGUUUCCUUUUAUUACUUCCGCGCGCUAUUUUUAAGUAUGCGCUCAGAUCUUGGAUAGUAAACCACUUCCUCCGCCCCAUAUCUCUACUCCAAUAACCGUAAAUUUUGAUUGUCUUUGCGUGACAGAUACUUCACUAGGCUAUUCUCUCACGUGGAAAAUCAUCCGCGUUUUGCAAGCUCGUCGCGUCCACGAGAUCUAAUGGUAAAAUAUCUGAAUCAUUAUUUUUCUCGUGUUGAAAAAUUGACAUCAAAAAGGGUUAAGAAAAUUCAACGAAACAGAAUCUACUCUGGCUAUGAUUGAAUAUAAAAUUCAAAAAUAAUUUUUGAAAUUUUUCUACGUCAACGAAGAUUGACAUGUCCAAAAGAUCCAAGAAAAUAAAAAUUUAUUUUAUAUACAUACAUUUAAAUUUUCUGAGAAAUAAUUUUUGAAAUUUCCUUUAUCAAUCUAGGUGGCUCGAGAGUUAAAAAAGAAUUCAGGAAAAUAUUCCAUAGAGAGAGAAAAGUAAAUAAGAAACUGGUUGGAAUACAUCAAACAAAAUACAGCAUCCCAGUGGCACGAUAUAAAAUUUCCAACGUGGUCAGGAUUGAUGAUCCGGCAAUAUGUCUCUCGUGAAACACGAGGCACCGUGUUUCCACGAGCUACGUUUCCAGAGUAAGUGGUCGAGAUGAAAGCUGGGCAAAGGCGUCAGGUGCGAUCAACCGUUUUCAAUAAGUUAUACCAGACCGUCCAUCCCCCAUCGAUCCUUGAGAUCAUCGUGUCAGCACGAGGAUCGCUUUCGAUUUUUGCGUGCUGGAUUUUGUAAAGAUAUAUCUUGUUUGAAUUUGCUAUUGGAAAUGCUUCUGAGAAUUUUAUCGAUAGCCUUUGAUGUUAAAUCAGUGUGAAAUUUUUAAGAAUUUUUUAUUAGCUUUGAUAUUGGGAAUUUCUGAAAAAUGAAAAAUUUCUAAAAAUUGGAAGAUUCAACUUAAUUUUGAUACUUGAAACGUAUCGAAAAUAUUUUCAAUAAUUCUAAAAAUUGAGAUUUUUUCUGUGUGGAAAUAUUUCUAAAUUAUGGUAAUCUUUACAAGUUAAUUUUUAUUAUCGCGUUAAUCUUAUCAAAAGAUUUUGAAAAAUCUAUGACUAGCCACGCGUGAACAAAUGUCGUAAACAUAGAAAACACUGUACCGAUUCUAUCGUCAACAGCGAUAAAUCAAUAUUUCAUAUCGAUAACUGUAACGAUACUUUGUGGAUGGCCUUGCUGUAAAAUUCGAAAGCAAUUUAAUAGCAAUUAAAACAAACGAGGAAUGAACGGUUGAAUAAUUUAACGAGUGAUAAAACGUUUGUUAAGGCCAAUUAUCGAUGUACAUUAACACAUACCGAUGAUCGUGCAACAUACAAACCAGUGAAUAGAUUAACAGGAAGCCAUUGACAACAAAGUUUCCUUUUGACAAACAAUGAUCUCACUUCGCUAUCGCUCGAAGAAAUUCAAUAGAUGAUUUCACCUAAACGAUAAUAUUGUAAUGUGAAGCAUAAGUAGAAACAAUGACAAUUGAUAGAUGGAUAUGAAUGCUUAGAAGUUGAAAUUAAGUAUGAAAUUAAAAGUUAAAUGAUACUAAGAAUUUUUAGCAUAUAGAAGUAAAAACUAUUUGAGUAAUUUGACUGAUUGCAUGUAGACAAAAACAAUAUAAAGUAUACUUUGACAAUGGAUAAUUGGAUAUAUAACUUUAGAAAUUGAAGUCAAAGUUAAAUAUCAAAAUUUUUUAUAUAUAAAUAAUUUGAUUAUUUAUAAUUGAAUACAAUAAGUUACAUUUUUUGAAAACUUGAUAGAUUAAUAUGUUAAUAAAAGCCACAAUAACUUUGAGAUAUUAAAAAAGAGUAUAACUCAAAAGAAGGUUGAGAGACACUGAUCUCUCAACUCUGAUCCAAGAGUAAAGUCAAUUUCGAAACAAUAUCUUCUGUUCUCAGUAGAAACCUGGCAUCAAGCACGAAGACAAACCUAAAUUUCACCAUUGCUAACUUGAACAAACGGCAACAUACGUUAAUACUCUGAGGACACAAAGCGAUAUCAAAGUCUGAAAGCCGAGCAUUGCUGUAUCACAAAGUAGAAUCUUCUGACUUGUCAACUACAGAUUGAGUGCUGUACAUUCCGGUUGACUUCUAAAGGACUGGCAUACAAUCGCUGGAAGUGGAUACUGUAUUCAGCCAGACGGCUGUCAUCCAGCUGUACCCUGGCGAUUAGCUCCAAUCACAAGAAGAAUCAUUCUCCAUCAUUUUUAUCAGUGAAAAAUCAAAAUCCCUAGAGGAUUCCUAGAUAAAUUUUUCCAAACAAACAACUUACGAUCUUUGAAUCACACAACUUUUGAAGAUUACUGCAUGCACAUAGGGAGGCUGUGCUAACUGUAGCGGUGCUCAAGGACUGGCGGAGAUCCGUGAAUCGUAACGGAUCGAAGGUCUUGGCCGGAAUUUAUUUUUUCGUUCGAUUUUACGUGAAGUAUGUGAACAUAGACAGCAAGUUUUACGAUUUCUUUCCUUCUUUUUUAUUUCUCCUAUUAUCGUGAUUUUUAUUUAUAAUAUCAUUGAACAUGAUUUUUCAACUAAAGAUUAAUACUAAUUCUUUAGUUACAAUUGAUAAUUGAUUACUGGAUAAUUAUAAUAUAAAUAAAUUGAUCAUCAGUAACAAAACCAUUACUGAUAUUGUAUAAUAAUUAAAUUACAACUCAAUUACUUAUUUUCCAUAUACUGUAUCUUUUAUAAGGAUUAAUAAUGGAUGCAACGUGUUUAAAAAUUUGCAACUCUAUGCAUUUCAAAAGUUUAGGGAGCGACGAACGGCAACAAACGAGCCAUUUUGGGGGGUCAAAGUUAUUCACGCCGGUGUGUAGCUGCGGCCAAACAGCGGUGGAGCUAAGAAGUAACAGCGGUGGAGGUUUAAUCUGGCCGAUGCCAGAUUCGUGGUAAAUCUUUGAUGACUUUGCGGCGAACGGUGCUGCCACGGCCAACCUAUAUUUGCCUUCGUAAUUCAUGGAAGCGGAUAAUAUCUCGUAUUAUCGCGUUAAUUAGUCACUCUUUAACCCUACACAUUAAUUUAGGAUAUAUAUUUUAUACCCUAGGAAAAUGUAAAUUAUGGAACGUUCCGUUAAUAAUAAUGGAAAUUUGAAGAAGAAAAGUUAAGAAAGCUAAGAAAAUAGUUACAAUACAAAGGAUUGAUAUAAGAUAUAUUUGAAUAAUGUGAUAUUUUGAAUAUAUCAGAUAUAUAACAUUUGUACUCCUAAAUAGACUUUUACUGAUUCACAAUACACAUUUCUUAUUCUUAUUCUUUAUAUUAUUAAGAUAAAGCAAGGUUAUAUCGAAUAAUUAAUAAUGUUAACAUCAAAGAUUGAAAAGAAGAGGUUCAAAAGAAACGUGAAAAUCAACUUUACGCUCGAUCACGAAAAAUAUCUUCCUCAACUCGAAGCAAAAAUACUAAGAAUCUCUUUCUUUCUUUCCAGGAAAGUGUAUUCAAGUAUUCUCAAGGAAUCUCGUAUGAUUUACGAUGAGAGAGAGAGAGAGAGAGUUGCCUACGAAACGGCGAGGAAAAUUAUUUUCGUAUCCGUCCCACUUUCAAGAACCAGUCAGCGAUUUACACUCCUGAUACGUCGAUUCCGUGGCCCUUGUGCGACAAUGUACAACAUCCCUCCAUACCUUAAAAAUGAAAGCAACAAAAAUGCAUUCCGCCGAGGCGGAAUGCGCGCACGUCGCACAGGAAACGGAGACACCGAUUUCUCCUUUAUUUCUGCUUCGUGGUGAUAUGUCUCGACAGAAAUAUCCCUUGUUCGUGAGCUUUGAUAUUCGUAGGUGGACGUAUACGUAUGUAUCGUUUCGAGUAUCGAGAUCUUUUUCUUUGUCAAGAAGUUGUGCAUCUCUUUUUUGAAGAUCUUGAAUUUGGUUAGGUAUAUAUACAAUUUCGAGUAUAUAAGAUCUCUUUCUUUCGUAAGUAGUUGUACUUUCUUUUGUUGAAGAUCUUGAAUUUGGUUAUACUUAGAAUAUCUAUAAUCUUUUUUUUUUCUUUUAUGUUUGUCUCUUUUUCAGAUUUUAGGUUAUGUGAAUAUUUUAGGUAUUUAAGAUUUUAGGUUAAGUGAAUUUCUUUCUUAAAGAUUUUUUUUUCAGUUUCAGGAAUUAAUGUGAACAUGUAACCGAACACUAAUGUAUUCUUAUGAUUACUGAUAUAUUAUUUAUCUCCCUAUGGAUAAAAUUUGGGGACAGAAUAGAUCCAACGUAAUCCUUGCAUGUUAUAAAAGACAACUAAAAGGGAAGUCAUUAAUGAGUAAUGCUUGACAAAUUUAUGGAGUAUGCAAUUAUGGUGUAUCCGACAAAGAUCAAUAAAUAAUUCAAAGUGUGGAAGAACGAAAAGGAUUCAUCGAUAUCCCUGGCAAUUGUGUCAGAAUUCGACGAUACACACACGUUAGCAAACAAAAUGGCGACAAGCCGAACUGAUUUUAUUCACGACCUUUGUCGCGGAAGUACUUUAGAUGCGGGUGGUGGGCCGCAGAGGAAAAAUAGCGGAAAGUUUUCCAUUUUAGAUGGGCCACCGAUAAAGGAAAGAGAGGCACGUAUAAUGGGACGUGUCUUCUCUACGAUUCCGCCUCAAGAACGAUCUGCUUGCACUUCUAUCUAUAAUUCAUCCUCAGAAAUCAUCCUCGUACAUUCAGACUUAUUUCAUUAUUUUUUUUCUAUUUAUUUCAAUUUUCUUUCUACCAUAAUAAAUGCAACAGAGAAAAGAAUUAGGUACAAAUAAUAUAUGAUUGAUAAUUUAGAGAAUACAAAUUUCUAGAAGAAAGAUUAGAAUACAAAUUUCUGUAUAACUGGGAGCAAUGUUUUGAUUAUUAUUGGCUUAUUUGUGGGACGAACAGUAAUCAGAAUGGUUGAUUAAGUCUUUAAAUGGAUUCAAUUGUUAUUUGAUUGAGAAAUAUAAACAAUAUAUAGCUACCUAAUAUAGUCAUAAUUGUGUAUUCAUUCUCUUUGUAGGAAGCAAUGUUGUACACAUCUUCAAAAAGAGGAAAGCAGAAUUAAAUCAUUAACAUAAUAUUAGCUGUAAAACACUUUACAGUUCUUGGCUUUCGUUAUUAUGAAGACACAGUUCAAAAGAUAAAUUCUAUGGUUUAAACCAUAAUGCAGAUAAACUGAAACUAAAUCAUCAAGUUAUUUUAAUAAGUUUGACCUCCAUAACUGAACUUCUAUAUGCAUUAAUUCAUAAUCCAUAAUUUUAUUGAGAGCAAUUAAUAUGAUCAAUAAAAAAAAAAAGAUAUCGUCCCUUGUUUAUCAACUUGUUGUUCAACUUUUAUAAAUAAAGUUUUUUCGUGUCUCCAAAAAUAGCAGAGGCAAUUAAGGUAAGCAAAGCUGUUAGUUCACCCUUUGUACGUAUAUAUACGCCUUUUCUAAAAUCUCUUUUUGGCGGAUUAUCGUCGAGCACUGUACUGCGCGCACAAAACUGUGUUAUACUGAGAGAAGUUUCCCGUACAAAUGCGUCGCUGGAAAUUCGCCUCGUUAAUAGACACAUUCGCAGAAAUGCGUUGUAUCAUUAAAGCAAUUGUCUUAUAUUGCUAAUCCUAUUAUCACCAUACCAUUCCCAAUGUAUGCGAAGAUAUUUCCAAAUUGCGACGAUCAUCCUUAUAUUGCUUGAAAAUUUUCGCAAUAAAUGAAUUCUAAAAUCUCGAUUACAAAUUUUAAAAUAUCAUUGAAGAAGAUAGAGAUAUGUAUGAAACACUUUAUCAUCCUCGAUUUAAUGUAUUAACAUUCUUCUUUCGAUAGAAUCUAACCUCAAAAUGAUACUGAUUUAAAAAUGCAUUUCAUUAAUUUACAAACAAAAAUUGCUAAAUCUUCAUUAAAGAAUGAUCAAAAACAGUGCAAAAUAUAAUUGAAUUAACAAAAUUUUUCUCAAGUUAAUAUCUCUAACUUCUAAAGGCACAAAAUCUCAAGGACUCUUUUCAAGAUUCGACAUAUAUUUACGAAGCAUUUUUUCUCAAUAUUUUUCUUCGACACAUACUCGUUCUUUCAAUACGAUAACCUUAUCGUGCCCAGUUUUCUUUCAGCUCUCGUGCGUUUCCACACAAAACGUCCCACGUUCGAGGGUCCAUAGUCUUCGAAGAAUUAUUUACGAGGAUGCAGUGAACGAGAACGUAAUAAACAUCGAAGCCGAUUACGGAACAGAAGUCGAAGGCGCGCCAAUGGAUGACGUUUCCUAGUCGAAACAAUGGAACUAUUUCGUGGAAGGCUGUACCUAGGAGAUUAGCGGAAAGAGGGUGUCGAUGGAAUUGGUCAGUCGAGUGGAACGUUUCCUGGGAUGAUUUUCCAUGAGAAUUAUGGGCACGGUUUCCAUGGAAAUUUAUAAUUAAUUUUUGUAAAAAAAAUUAGAUAUUUUAGAAUAUUGUAAUUGUGAUUUUGAAUCAAUUUUUUUUAAAUAACUUUUAAUAUUUUAGGAUUGAACUGUAUUAUAAUUUUAAUGCUGAGAUGAAUUUUCACAAGAAUUUUCAAUAUUUUGUAAUAUUAAAAUAUCCAUCUAUUCAAUAUUCACACAAAGCCAAAUAAUAUUCCAAUAGCCAUACAAUCUUUCCAUUUCUAUAAAUUUCCAAUAUUUAAAUUUUACAAUAAAUAUAUACAUCCAUCCAUCUAGCAUAGUACAAUAUUUCUCCAAAAAUCUUAAUUUCCCUAUGUUUAGUUAUGAAAUCUUUUUACCGAUCAUCGGUAACCGAUCAACAAGAAAGAUAUUUUCACUAUUAAAAAGUUAGACAGAAUCUUAUAACUUUUUGAACGCAGGUUUUUCACGAUCUUGAAACGAAAGUAAAUAUCAUGUAUAUUUACGAUCAUAGCAUGAGAAAAAAAAGAGAUAUAUGUAUAUUUUAUACAAUAGAUUGGCAUAUCGAUAUUCCGGAACGACACAGAUCUACAUGAACGAAUUGGGAGCUGAUUAUUGAUUCUUUUUCUCGUAUAUUUCACUAUAUUCCUUCGUCAACGAUUACAUACUAAUAUUCUGUUUGAAUGUUUAUUCAAAUGUGAUUUUUUCUAAUUGGCAUUCUUUAUGGAGAAAGAAUUUAUAUGCAAUUAUGAGAAUAUA